CAAUUUUCUUAAACAAAAAAAAAAAAAUUAUUAAAACCCUUUCUCUCUCUCUUCUCCCCUCCUCGCGCCGCCGGUUUCUCCCUCCGCCAGAAGACGCCCCUCCGCCGCGCCGAAGCCCUCUGCCUCCGCCUCCGUUCUUCUUCUUCUUCUUCCGCACCAGACGCAGCCUCCCCGCCGCGGGUUCCUCCCUCCGCCAGAAGACGCCCCUCCGCCGCGCCGAAGCCCUCCGCCUCCGCCGUUCAUCUUCUUCCUCUUAUUCUUCUUCUCCCUCUUCUUCUUCCUCUUCUUCUUCUUCUUCUUCUUCUUCUUCUUCUCCUUCUCCUCCAGGCGCCGCCCCUCCUCCGCCGGUUCCAGGUUCCCACGGCACGACGCCCGCCGCGAAAUCCCUACUCCACCGAACCUACGCCCUGCGACUCCACGCUGCCGCAGAUUCCACACGCCACCAGACGCCGCCGAGCCCUUCGCCGAUCGUCCUCUGCCAGACUACGAUCUCUUGCGCGUCGCCCUCGACUUCUUCCUCCCCUGCUCAGUCAUCUCCUAUCACCGCAUCCGAUCCUCUAAUUGGGUAAUAUUUCUUCAUCCCUUUGUUCUAAUUCUUUCCAUUUUUGGAGAUGGAUUUAUUGAGGCUAUGCGAUUGCUAAAAUUGGAAUCGAGAUUGAAAUUCAGUUCCUAUGAUUGGUGUUUUAUAAUGUUUAGGUGCGAUGAUCAUGGACUAUUUGUCUUGAGUUAAUAAGGUUAAUUGGUUGCUUGAGUUAAUGGGUUGUUAGUUGUUUGAUUUGCUCGAUUUUUUAUAGUCUACGUUGGCUUAGUUGAUGGGAAUGAAAUUGAAUUGACUUUGUUGAGACCUAAGAUUGAAUCCAAGCCCCGUGAUACCCCUUGAUACUUACUCACUGGUUGUGAACAUUAGGCGGUUGAAUUGAUUUGGUUUGUCGAGAUUUGGCAGAAAUCCAAGCACUUACUCUUUUGGAGCAAUUUUGUUUUGACAUGGUAGAAUUACAAACCAGACAUUCUUUGCUCCUUUUGGGAUACUUUGCUGUGUUGGUGAGUUUGUUUUUCAGGAGCCGUGAGAUUUUUCAAGCCCACUGCACCACCAACUCACAAGGCCUUGGCAAGGCAAGCAAAUAACACAAUGCAGUUUUACAACUCUCUACGGACUCCAAGGAAGUCCCUCUCUUCUUCUAUUGCUUUCUUUACCUUGCGGACAAUGCAUACUUUAGGUGUGGGGAGAGUUAUGCAAAAUUUUGGGCAAAUUUUUCAUUUUUUGUGCUACUUUUUAUGCCUGAUUUGCUGUCAUUUUGCAUGUUUUUUAGAUUUGUCUGAAGUGAGUCAAAGGUGAUUUGUGUGAUAGGUUAGUUUGGCAUGACUAAUGACAUUUGAUUGGUGAUAUGUUGAGUUAAGUCGACGUUUGAACCCUGUGAGAAUUUGAGCUUAUGUUCCAAAAGUCACAUUAGAAAAUAAAUUGCAUAUAUUCAAGCUUUUAGAAAUUUCUUUCAUGUGUGAUUUGUAGUGCUCAAUUAGAUGACCUAGAACUUGAGUGAUUAUGCAUGUUGAAUUUGCAACUAUCGAGUCUUGCAUUUUGAAAAUGAUAAGGGCAUUAGGUAUCCUAUUAAGCCUUUCUUUAUUACCCAGCACAAUAUAUUCCCCUAAUUAGCCCAUUUGAGCCUUCUUAGCCUAUUUUUCUUUUAUAAUAACAUGUCUUUUACCCUUGUACCCUUCUUUUGAUUAAGCCUUCUCCGAUUUGAAUCAUAUGUUAGAAUGAAUUACUUUAAGUCCAUGUUGUGAUGCACUUUAUUUCUUCGCAGUAGUUAGAAACGAACUUUGGGUACAAAUAAGUCAUAGUAUGAAGGAAUAACUGUGGGUUAUGUAGGUAUAUAUAUAUAUAUAUAUAAAGGCAAAAGCCAAAAAAAAAAUAAAAAAAAGGAAUAAUAAAAAAAAAAAAAAAAAAAAAGAAACAAAAAAAAAAAUACAAAAAUAAAUAAAUAAAUAAUUAUCUUAAUAAAGUAUUUUCAUUUAAUUUCAUUAUUAAAGUUUGGGUAGUGAAUAGAGUACGGAUUUAAUUGUUUAUGCCGAUUUGUUCUUCAUGUGCUAGCAUCGUGUUCUUAUUGUGUUCUUUUCUGACAUAUUUUAGCUCUUGUAUGUCUUUUUUCCUACCCUGACCAUAGGCCCCGUUACAACCCUUGUUGAAAGUCCCUUUGAUUCUCUAUGCUAAAUUCGAAUAUCUUAAGUAAGGGAGAUUUGAUUUUCACUCAAGCCUAUAGAAUAAUCUUUUGUUGCACUACCUGAGUGUUGAGCCAAUUAUACACUUAAUUCCUUCAGAGAGCAUGUGAGAAUACACUUUAUCUUGUGAGAUUGACUUGGCUUGAUGUGUUAAAAUUCAGAUUGAAUUGGUUGUUUUGGAUUCUCUUGUCAUAUCGAGUUGCCUGCAAUUUCUUUGGCUUAUUUCGAAUUUAUGCUUGAGGGCAAGCAUGAUCUAGGUGUGGAGAGAAUUGAUAGUUAGAAAUCGCAUGCGUUUUCUAUUCAUAUCAUAUGCGAUAUUUGGGUGAUUUUGAUUGGAUUCUACCUAAUUUAUAUGCGAAUUGUUUAUUUGUUGUGGGCAAAGGGCAAAUAUUAAAUUUGGCAUAAUUGGCAAAAAAAGGAAAUAAAAUUAAUUAAAGGCCCAAAAGUCCAUCUCCAAAAUAAUUAGGGCAAAAAUCAAAUAAGAAAGAAAAAGACACGCCUAUUUAGGGAGGAGAGAACGGCUAGGGCAGAAACGCACAGGAGCAGGAGACUGACAGAUUCAUAGACCGCGCAGGAGCAAAUCGACAGAGAACAUUUUCCUCUCCCACUAUGACUUUAUCUUUCUAUUUUGUUCUUUGUUAUUUGAUUAUGGAGUAGACAUUUUUCUGGUGGUUUGAGGGGUGAUAAUAUUUUGGUUCUUUUGUUUUGGAGAUUCUUGAUUUUCUUUAUAAAAGUUCUUUUUUAUUAUCAAUAUUUGUCUAAUUUUGAGAAUAGCGUUUGUGAUUGUUAGAUUGAUUGAAUAUUUUGGUACCGAUAUUUAAAUUAGUCUGAUAAUCUAAAGUCAAUUCAAGUAGGAUAUCCGUAAUUGUAUUCGCACUUGAAUAGGUGACAACCGGGUUGAAUAGUUUCUUCCCGGGGGUUAGACAAUCAAAUCUAAUUGCUUCUCUUAGGUAGUAAUUGUUUUGAAUUGAAUUUUUCUAGAUUGGAAUGCGGUUAGGCAAUAUUCUAAUGGGCGCAUCUAGGUUUAUUUGCUUAAUUAGGGGUAGUUAACGGUCGUACCUUAAUUACCUACACUGUAAGGAAAAAUUGGUUGUCAGAGCUUGUUGGUAACUAUAACCAAUUUAUUGAUACUUUAAUAAGAAUUUUAACUUUAUUGAAUUUAUGAUAAAACACAAGAGCCAUAACUGCAUUACCCUUUGAGCCAGACAUCCCCUUAAUAAUCAGUUCCCCUUUAAUUUAAUUGCUUUGUUAUUUUAUUUUAAUUAGAUAAUAAAAGAAAAAUCCCCCUUUAUUUACUGCAUUAGAAUACGAAAAAGUGAAUCACACAAUCCCUGUGGAGACGAUCCCUUCCCCUGUAUUACAUUAAAUUGUAAUCACGGAUUAGGUGAAAUAUUUGAUUGACUGCGCGACAGGUCAUCUACCAAUAAUUUUGAUUCCUAAGAUAUGGACGCUUCGGAGUUGGAGACACGAACUAAUUCCACCUCCGUGGCGGUGGAGGAAGAGGAAGAAGAGGAGUACGUUUUGCUUGAUUUGGAUGGCGUUUCCGACCACAUUAGCAUUCCUCCCAAUGCGCCAUACCAACUCUCUGGCCUGGACACUCCCAAUCCGAUUAUGCUGAUAGAUAACAAAAUUAAAUUGAUAGGAGAAUAUGAAGAGACAAUUGGGACUUGCCUUGUUUUCAAUCAAUCCGGUCAAACACCUUUAAAUAAGGACCAUUAAGGGGUUAGAUGCAGAGUUUAUGAAACGACAAGGGAGAUUGACGCACUUUUAGAAGUACGAAGGACUUGAUGCAAUUUCGUGAAAUCACAGAUGGAUCUCCUAUUGUUCACCAAGAGACAGGGCCUUCGGAAGCCAGCCUUUUCUCCGGAAAAUACAUAAUA